rnacentral:rRNA from 1 species
AUACGGAGGGUGCAAGCGUUGUUCGGAUUUACUGGGCGUAAAGAGAGUGUAGGUUGUUUAUUAAGUCGGAUGUGAAAUCCCGGGGCUCAACCUCGGAACUGCAUUCGAUACUGGUAGACUAGAGUUCGGGAGGGGUAAGCGGAAUUCCGUGUGUAACAGUGAAAUGCGUAGAUAUACGGAGGAACACCUGAGGCGAAGGCGGCUUACUGGACCGAUACUGACACUGAGACUCGAAAGCGUGGGUAGCAAACAGGAUUAGAAACCCUAGUAGUCC